rnacentral:tRNA from 1 species
GGCUGGAUAACAUAAUGGUAAUGAGCAAGAUUGCAAAUCUUGAUAUAAGAGUUCAAUUCUCUUUCUAGCCU